UNCCAUGUGUAGCGGUGAAAUGCGUAGAUAUAUGGAGGAACACCGGUGGCGAAAGCGGCUNUCUGGCUUGUAACUGACGCUGAGGCUCGAAAGCGUGGGGAGCAANCAGGAUUAGAUACCCUGGUAGUNCACGCCGUAAACGAUGAGUGCUAGGUGUUAGACCCUUUCCGGGGUUUAGUGCCGCAGCUAACGCAUUAAGCACUCCGCCUGGGGAGUACGACCGCAAGGUUGAAACUCAAAGGAAUUGACGGGGGCCCGCACAAGCGGUGGAGCAUGUGGUUUAAUUCGAAGCAACGCGAAGAACCUUACCAGGUCUUGACAUCCCUCUGACCGCUCUAGAGAUAGAGUUUUCNUUCGGGACAGAGGUGACAGGUGGUGCAUGGUUGUCGUCAGCUCGUGUCGUGAGAUGUUGGGUUAAGUNNNNNNACGAGCGCAACCCCUAUUGUUAGUUGCCAUCAUUUAGUUGGGCACUCUAGCGAGACUGCCGGUAAUAAACCGGAGGAAGGUGGGGAUGACGUCAAAUCAUCAUGCCCCUUAUGACCUGGGCUACACACGUGCUACAAUGGCUGGUACAACGAGUCGCAAGCCGGUGACGGCAAGCUAAUCUCUUAAAGCCAGUCUCAGUUCGGAUUGUAGGCUGCAACUCGCCUACAUGAAGUCGGAAUCGCUAGUAAUCGCGGAUCAGCACGCCGCGGUGAAUACGUUCCCGGGCCUUGUNC
rnacentral:rRNA from 1 species